AACUUGGCCGUCAUUGCAGAA
rnacentral:siRNA from 1 species